rnacentral:snoRNA from 1 species
AAUCCAUGCAUUAGGCAUUUCUAAAGUAGUUCUUUAAAUCUUUCCAGGCUUCGUACAAUGUUUCAUAUUCUGAUUGCCGAAAAAACAUGAUUUCAUUUCUAAGAUU